GAUGAACGCUAGCUACAGGCUUAACACAUGCAAGUCGAGGGGUAACGAGAGGAAAGCUUGCUUUCCUUGUCGACGACCGGCGCACGGGUGAGUAACGCGUAUCCAACCUGCCCCCAACUAGGGAAUAACCUUGCGAAAGUAAGACUAAUACCCUAUAAUUUCCUCAGAUGACAUCUGACGAGGAAUAAAGUAUUAUCGGUUGUGGAUGGGGAUGCGUCUGAUUAGCUUGUUGGCGGGGUAACGGCCCACCAAGGCAACGAUCAGUAGGGGUUCGGGGAGGAAGGUCCCCCACAUUGGAGCUGAGACACGGUCCAAACUCCUACGGGAGGCAGCAGUGAGGAAUAUUGGUCAAUGGGCGGAAGCCUGAACCAGCCAAGUAGCGUGCAGGAUGACGGCCCUAUGGGUUGUAAACUGCUUUUAUACAGGAAUAAAGUUAGCCACGUGUGGUUAUUUGUAGGUACUGUAUGAAUAAGGACCGGCUAAUUCCGUGCCAGCCGCCGCGGUAA
rnacentral:rRNA from 1 species